UACGUAGGGUGCGAGCGUUAAUCGGAAUUACUGGGCGUAAAGGGUGCGUAGGUGGCCGGGAAAGUUUGAUGUGAAAGCUCGGAGCUUAACUCCGAAAUGGCAUUGAAUACUAUUCGGCUGGAGGGUCGGAGGGGAGACUGGAAUUCUCGGUGUAGCAGUGAAAUGCGUAGAUAUCGAGAGGAACACCAGUGGCGAAGGCGAGUCUCUGGACGACAUCUGACAGCUGAGGCACGAAAGCUAGGGGAGCAAACAGG
rnacentral:rRNA from 1 species